UCCCCCCCCCCAAAUGUUCAAAAUGCAUCUUUAUCUAUGUUAGGGCCGUCAACUUUUUCUAAUGGAUUACUAACAAGGCAUUAAACAUUUGUGAGUUCAUGUACUAGGAUUAUAGAAUCUACAAGGAAGAGUGAACAAAUCUUUACUAUUUUGUAGCACAUGAUACCAUUGCUAGCCAACAUGUUUGUUUUUAUAAAAAAAGUCUGGCUGUUUUAAAAAAAAUAACAAGACUAACAAAAUAUAAACAAAACUUGUGUCAUUUUUUGAAGUAUAAAGAGAAAAUUCGAAUCUCCCAAUACUUCAAUGUAAGUACUAGAUCCUCGGGUUUGAAAUAAAAUAGUUUCAGGUCAAUUUCAUUCAGUUUUUUUUAUCUUUUACAUCAUGUGACCCGCGACACUAAUGUUGGAAAUCAAAAUGGCCCGCAGAUUGAAUUAGGUUGGGCAUCACUGGUGUACAGCAAUAUACUAUGUACACAACAAAUGUAUGUGUGUAUGUGUACUCCAAUACACUAUGUACACCAAUAUAUAAUGUGUUGAUGCUGUAUACUCAUACAAACAUAGCUAAUGGCUUCUUUCAUUUUACCAUUGAUAUUAUUUUCCAUAUGGUACAAUAAUAACACAGAAACAAAUAAAUACAAAUAUAUAUAUAGGUAAGUAUGUCUCUAUAAAUAGCAUGUGAUUAACUAAGAGGUAUAUUCUCUAUACCAGAGUUAAGCAUCAGCUCUAAAAAAGGCAGAGGAGUUACCUCCUUGCCAUAAACUAACAUGCUUGCUCCAACAAUACCAGGUAGUGCUCAAAUAUUGCUCCAACAAUGCCAGAC